rnacentral:rRNA from 1 species
GAUGAACGCUGGCGGUGUGCCUAAUACAUGCAAGUCGAGCGCACGCACGAGAAGCUUGCUUCUCUGAUGUUAGCGGCGGAGGGGGGAGUAACCCUUAGAUAACCUACCUAUACGACUGAGAGUACUUCAUGAAACAUGAGCUGAUAACGGGUGAGAUUUUUAACCGCAUGGUUCACAAGUGAAAGACGAUCUUGCUGUCGCUUUUAGAUGUAUCCGCGCUGCAUUAGAUAAUUGGUAAGGUAACGACUUACCAACGCACCGAUGCAUAGCCAACCUGAGAGGGUGAAGGGGCAGACUGGAACGGAGACACGGCCAAAACGCCAACGGGAGACAGCAGUGGGGAAUAUUCCGGACUGGGCGGAAGCCUGUCGGAGAAACGCCGCGUGAGUGAUGAAGGUCUUCGGAUUGUAAAACGCUGUUAUUAGGGAAGAACAUAUGUGUAAGUAACUGUGAACAUCUUGACGGUACCUAAGCAGAAAGCCACGGCUAACUACGUG